rnacentral:rRNA from 1 species
AGCGAACGUUAGCGGCGGGCUUAACACAUGCAAGUCGAACGAGAAAGCGGCUUCGGCCGUGAGUAAAGUGGCGGACGGGUGAGUAACACGUGGAUGAUCUACCCUUGAGCGGGGGAGUAACAGUCCGAAAGGAUUGCUAAUAACCGCAUACGUCAGCUGACGAUGGUCAGUUGGGAAAGGCAGCCCUCUUCAUGAAAGGUUAGCACUCGAGGAUGAGUCCGCGUCCCA